GAUGAACGCUGGCGGCGUGCUUAACACAUGCAAGUCGAACGGUGAACGAGGGAGCUUGCUCCCUCCGGAUCAGUGGCGAACGGGUGAGUAACACGUGAGCAAUCUGCCCUGGACUCUGGGAUAAGCGUUGGAAACGACGUCUAAUACCGGAUACGAGGCGUGGGGGCAUCCCCAACGCCUGGAAAGAACUUCGGUCCAGGAUGAGCUCGCGGCCUAUCAGCUAGUUGGUGAGGUAACGGCUCACCAAGGCGACGACGGGUAGCCGGCCUGAGAGGGUGACCGGCCACACUGGGACUGAGACACGGCCCAGACUCCUACGGGAGGCAGCAGUGGGGAAUAUUGCACAAUGGGCGCAAGCCUGAUGCAGCAACGCCGCGUGAAGGACGACGGCCUUCGGGUUGUAAACCUCUUUUAGCAGGGAAGAAGCGAAAGUGACGGUACCUGCAGAAAAAGCACCGGCUAACUACGUGCCAGCCGCCGCGGUAAUAC
rnacentral:rRNA from 1 species